rnacentral:rRNA from 1 species
UACAGAGGGGGCAAGCGUUGCUCGGAAUGACUGGGCGUAAAGGGCGCGUAGGCGGCUCAUACAGUCAGGCGUGAAAUUCCUGGGCUCAACCUGGGGACUGCGCUUGAGACGUGUGGGCUUGAGUGGGGAAGAGGGUCGUGGAAUUCCCAGUGUAGAGGUGAAAUUCGUAGAUAUUGGGAAGAACACCGGUGGCGAAGGCGGCGACCUGGUCCUUGACUGACGCUGAGGCGCGAAAGCGUGGGGAGCAAACAGG